rnacentral:rRNA from 1 species
UACGAAGGGGGCUAGCGUUGCUCGGAAUCACUGGGCGUAAAGGGUGCGUAGGCGGGUCUUUAAGUCAGGGGUGAAAUCCUGGAGCUCAACUCCAGAACUGCCUUUGAUACUGAAGAUCUUGAGUUCGGGGGAGGUGAGUGAACUGCGAGUGUAGAGGUGAAAUUCGUAGAUAUUCGCAAGAACACCAGUGGCGAAGGCGGCUCACUGGCCCGAUACUGACGCUGAGGCACGAAAGCGUGGGUAGCAAACAGG